rnacentral:rRNA from 1 species
AUGGAUUUGUCUCAAGUACGGUCACUAACCGUAUUUGGAAGCCAAGACCGACCACUGCCUUUUCAUUCAUUCAAUAAUGGAAUAAUUCAAGUGUUUGAUCUGGAGGGUUGGAAGGGAUUGACAAAUAAACAUAUGGAGGACAUAUGUAAAAUGCUUGUACUGAAGUAUUUGAGCCUCCGUCGAACAGAGAUUUCCAUGAUUCCAUCAGAGAUAGAGAAGAUCCAGGAUCUGGAAACUUUUGAUGCAAGGGAGACAAAUGUCGGAGAUCUACCCAAAACUUUUGGCAAUCUCAAACGGCUCCGCAGUUUGCUUGGGGGAAGUAAAAAAUCACGAAAGGCUUUGAAGAUGCCUCAAUAG